CGCAAACGAGGAGCAAACCCCUUAUCCCUUUUGUUGCCAGCGGUCCGGCCGGGAACUCAAAGGAGANGCCCGUGAUAAAACUGGAGGAAGGUGGGGAUGACGCCAAGUCAUCAUGGCCCUUACGAGUAGGGCUACACACGUGCUACAAUGGCGCAUACAAAGAGAAGCGACCUCGCGAGAGCAAGCGGACCUCAUAAAGUGCGUCGUAGUCCGGAUUGGAGUCUGCAACUCGACUCCAUGAAGUCGGAAUCGCUAGUAAUCGUGGAUCAGAAUGCCACGGUGAAUACGUUCCCGGGCCUUGUACACACCGCCCGUCACAGCCAUGGGAGUGGGUUGCUAACAAGAAAGUAGGUUAGCUUAACCUUCGGU
rnacentral:rRNA from 1 species